CCGCCUUACAACAAUGAUCUAUAUCAUCAUUUGGACACUGUACUACACUCAAGGUUCUGUGGGUCAGGUUGUGACUCAGUCUGGAAAUCAGACAGUGGAGCCUGGUCAAACUGUUACUAUUGAAUGUAAACACACACCAGCAAUUAAUUGCUGGGAUUCAGAAGCAAGCAAAAAAUACUGCAUGUCCUGGUACCAUCAGAUUCCUGGAGAGGUUCCUAAACUCCUGAUCUAUCUCACAUCUGAUAGAGCAUCAGGAGUUUCCUCUAGAUUCAAUGGCAGUGAGAGUGGAAACCACAUAGAUUUUACUCUGACCAUCAGUGAAGUUCAGCCUGAAGAUUCAGGAGAUUAUUACUGUAUGGGGGAACGAAGUUCACUGUGGUACACUUUUGGUGGAGGAACAAGACUCUCAGUUGGAACUAACGCUCAGCCGACUCUAACGGUCCUGUCGCCCUCCAGAGAUGAGUUGAAUCAGGGUAAAGCUUCAGUCAUGUGUGUGGCCAGUAAGGGAUUCCCCUCUGACUGGAAGUUGAGCUGGAAGGUGGAUGGUAACAGCAGGAGCUCUGGUGUGAAUCUGAGUCCUGGUGUCCUGCAGAAGGAUGGACUGUACAGCUGGAGCAGCAGUCUGAGUCUCACUCACAGUGAAUGGAGCUCAGCGAAAACCAUCAGCUGUGAGGCCACACAGAGCUCUCAGAAUCCAGUCUCCAAAAUCCUCAACACACAGGAGUGUGAUGUACAAUGAGAGCACACACACAAACCGACACACCAAAAUCUUGUUAAAAAUUAAAAUUCAUUUGCAGAAGCCCUCUUGCUUUUUAACUGUUUGCAGUGCAUAUGACAGCAGGCUUGAAUGAUUUGCUGAGUCCUAUUGUGGUUGCAAAAAUAAAAGUAUUUU